AUUUUCCCACAAAAAUGAAAUAAAUGUAAUGUUAAAUCAAUAAUUAAAGUGUUUUAGCUGAAAGAACUGUCUCUAUAAAUGUUAACAGUCUACACGGAAGUUUCUAUAAGCCCUUAUGUGUAACUCGAGUUUUUGGUCUGUUCGCCUAGUGUGACAAAUAACGGUUCCCUUUCAGUCAAUCAUUUAUUGUUACUGGUAUCAAAGUCUUUUUAUUUACUCAUAACAGUAUAUUUCUAAUAGAUUUACACAAAAAGUCCACUUUCUUGUAUUUUACAUUAGAAAAUGGGGAGAAAGAGUAAUAAAAAAAUACCUCAAAAUGUUUUUAAAAAGGGUUAUGUCCCUUGGAAUGCUGGUACAAAAAAUAAUUGGUAAGAAUUAUAAAGUUUAAGUAUGUGAGACUGGAUUCUGAUGUGUAUAAAUCCAGGGCAAAUAAGUGUUUAGAUGAUUUAUUGUCUGUGCAAAAUGUAGACGGCACAAUGGCAAAUUGUAAACUUUUGCGGCCAAAAAAAACAAAAAAACAUGAUGAUAGUUGAUACUUACUUUAAUGCUGAAGUGUCAUCUGCAGACCAAUUCACAUAUAAGAUUUUUCAACAGAAUGCUCU
rnacentral:lncRNA from 1 species